AAAUGUAAUUGCAGUUUUUGCCAUUAGAAUUAAUUACCAGUGGCAAAAACUGCAAUUACUUUUGC
ensembl:miRNA